rnacentral:rRNA from 1 species
UACGGGGGGGGCAAGCGUUGUUCGGAAUUACUGGGCGUAAAGGGCGCGUAGGCGGUCCGCUAAGUUAGAUGUGAAAACUCUGGGCUCAACCCAGAGCCUGCAUCUAAUACUGACGGGCUAGAGUUCUGGAGGGGGUAGCGGAAUUCCUGGUGUAGCGGUGAAAUGCGUAGAUAUCAGGAGGAACACCGGUGGCGAAGGCGGCUACCUGGACAGAAACUGACGCUGAGGCGCGAAAGCUAGGGGAGCAAACAGG